UAUUGGUCAAUGGGCGCAAGCCUGAACCAGCCAUCCCGCGUGAAGGAAGAAGGCGCUAUGCGUUGUAAACUUCUUUUCCAGGGGGAGAAUUUUUCCGUCGUGACGGGAAUUGACGGUACUCUGGGAAUAAGCAUCGGCUAAUUCCGUGCCAGCAGCCGCGGUAAUACGGAGGAUGCGAGCGUUAUCCGGAUUUAUUGGGUUUAAAGGGUGCGUAGGCGGAUAGAUAAGUCAGUGGUGAAAUUCUGCAGCUUAACUGUAGACUUGCCGUUGAUACUGUCAGUCUUGAGUAUGGUCAAGGCAGGCGGAAUGUGUAAUGUAGCGGUGAAAUGCUUAGAUAUUACACAGAACACCGAUUGCGAAGGCAGCUUGCUGGGCCAUUACUGACGCUGAUGCACGAAAGCGUGGGGAUCGAACAGG
rnacentral:rRNA from 1 species